GGCAGAACAGCUGGCCCACAGAGGUCAGACAACCAGGUGCUUGGGGAAAACCUUGGGCUACAACCAACUCUGGAAGAACUCAGCUGUAGCACACGGGAAUGAGUUGCGGAACAGUUCCAGAGACCAACAGGGAGGCGUUCAUCAGAACCUCAAAUUCAAUCAGAGUCCUGCUGUUCAGAGGUAUUUCUAAAUGUGCCAAGUCUUAAUUGAAGUGGAAGUGCCCGGAACCAAAGUUAAUACCAGGAACAACAGGGAGCCCAAUUUAUGGAGAGUAGAUUCAAUAAUCUACCCUAAUCCUAUUAAAGAGCCCCUACCAAUGGUUGAAAAAAUUACUAAGCUGUCCCGUCGGACGUGAGCAGCUGCACUUCCCCUGGUGGUUCUCAAGGACUUGAAAAUAUUUCCCAGACCUCAGUCCUCAAGGACUUGAAAACAUUCCUCAGACCUCAAGGUUCCAGGCCCGUCACAAAGUUCAGCCAGGGCACAGCCGUUGCCUAAGAUAGAUAACGAGCCAGUCAGCCAGACAGCCACAAGCGUGCGUGUUUGCAUGAAGGUCUGGCACCGAUUACCAAACUCCCCUUGUACGCCCGCCACCCCGUUUGCGGUUUCAGGCUUUAAAAACUUGCUGUAAUUACUGGUCGGGGUUCACUCCUUCCCAAGGCUGCUGAACCCUCGCGA